rnacentral:rRNA from 1 species
GACGAACGCUGGUGGCGUGCUUAACACAUGCAAGUCGAACGGUGAAGCCCAGCUUGCUGGGUGGAUCAGUGGCGAACGGGUGAGUAACACGUGAGCAACCUGCCCUCCACUUCGGGAUAAGCCUUGGAAACGGGGUCUAAUACCGGAUAUGAGCGCCUGCCGCAUGGUGGGUGUUGGAAAGUUUUUCGGUGGGGGAUGGGCUCGCGGCCUAUCAGCUUGUUGGUGGGGUAAUGGCCUACCAAGGCGUCGACGGGUAGCCGGCCUGAGAGGGCGACCGGCCACACUGGGACUGAGACACGGCCCAGACUCCUACGGGAGGCAGCAGUGGGGAAUAUUGCACAAUGGGCGAAAGCCUGAUGCAGCGACGCCACGUGAGGGAUGACGGCCUUCGGGUUGUAAACCUCUUUCAGCAGGGAAGAAGCGCAAGUGACGGUACCUGCAGAAGAAGCGCCGGCUAACUACGUGCCAGCAGCCGCGGUAAUACGUAGGGCGCAAGCGUUGUCCGGAAUUAUUGGGCGUAAAGAGCUCGUAGGCGGUCUGUCGCGUCUGGUGUGAAAUCCCAUGGCUCAACUGUGGGCUUGCAUCGGGUACGGGCAGACUAGAGUGCUGUAGGGGAGACUGGAAUUCCUGGUGUAGCGGUGGAAUGCGCAGAUAUCAGGAGGAACACCGAUGGCGAAGGCAGGUCUCUGGGCAGUUACUGACGCUGAGGAGCGAAAGCAUGGGGAGCGAACAGGAUUAGAUACCCUGGUAGUCCAUGCCGUAAACGUUGGGCACUAGGUGUGGGGCCAGUUCCACUGGUUCUGUGCCGCAGCUAACGCAUUAAGUGCCCCGCCUGGGGAGUACGGCCGCAAGGCUAAAACUCAAAGGAAUUGACGGGGGCCCGCACAAGCGGCGGAGCAUGCGGAUUAAUUCGAUGCAACGCGAAGAACCUUACCAAGGCUUGACAUGUACGAGAAAGCCCCAGAGAUGGGGUUCUCUUUGGACACUCGUACACAGGUGGUGCAUGGUUGUCGUCAGCUCGUGUCGUGAGAUGUUGGGUUAAGUCCCGCAACGAGCGCAACCCUUAUCCUAUGUUGCCAGCGGGUUAUGCCGGGGACUCAUGGGAGACUGCCGGGGUCAACUCGGAGGAAGGUGGGGAUGACGUCAAAUCAUCAUGCCCCUUAUGUCUUGGGCUUCACGCAUGCUACAAUGGCCGGUACAGAGGGCUGCGAUACCGUGAGGUGGAGCGAAUCCCAAAAAGCCGGUCUCAGUUCGGAUCGGGGUCUGCAACUCGACCCCGUGAAGUCGGAGUCGCUAGUAAUCGCAGAUCAGCAACGCUGCGGUGAAUACGUUCCCGGGCCUUGUACACACCGC